GAUGAACGCUGGCGGCGUGCCUAAUACAUGCAAGUCGAGCGAAUGGAUUAAGAGCUUGCUCUUAUGAAGUUAGCGGCGGACGGGUGAGUAACACGUGGGUAACCUGCCCAUAAGACUGGGAUAACUCCGGGAAACCGGGGCUAAUACCGGAUAACAUUUUGAACCGCAUGGUUCGAAAUUGAAAGGCGGCUUCGGCUGUCACUUAUGGAUGGACCCGCGUCGCAUUAGCUAGUUGGUGUGGUAACGGCUCACCAAGGCAACGAUGCGUAGCCGACCUGAGAGGGUGAUCGGCCACACUGGGACUGAGACACGGCCCAGACUCCUACGGGAGGCAGCAGUAGGGAAUCUUCCGCAAUGGACGAAAGUCUGACGGAGCAACGCCGCGUGAGUGAUGAAGGCUUUCGGGUCGUAAAACUCUGUUGUUAGGGAAGAACAAGUGCUAGUUGAAUAAGCUUACUCCUUGACGGUACCUAACCAGAAAGCCACGGCUAACUACGUGCCAGCCGCCGCCGUAA
rnacentral:rRNA from 1 species